rnacentral:snRNA from 1 species
GUGCUCGAUUCGGCAGCACAUAAACUAAAAUUGGAACGAGACAGAAAAGAUUAGCACGCCCUGGGCAAGAAUGGCAUGCAAAUUUGUGAAGACUUCCAUAUUUUU